AAUUCCCCUGCCAUUUCCACUCCCCAGAGUCCAACGCACCAUCGUCCCUGCCAGGUUGCCAACACCAUGCCCGUAAUCUGCAAUCUCAAAACUCCCGAUACUCUCCAAAUCCAUUGCCAAACCGGAACUCCAUUCCGAUACUAAGAGGCCCACGAAGCCUGCUCAGCCUGUAUCCAAGAAAUCUCACUCCAAAACUCACUCUCAUGCUUCCUAUAAGGGUCAAAAUAAGCGACACUACCCAUUGGAUUUGAACACUCUAA
rnacentral:misc_RNA from 1 species